rnacentral:rRNA from 1 species
GGAAUAUUGCACAAUGGGCGCAAGCCUGAUGCAGUAACGCCGCGUGCGGGAAGACGACCUUCGGGUUGUAAACCGCUUUUGACCGGGACGAGUGAGGACGGUACCGGUGGAAUCAGUCUCGGCUACCUACGUGCCAGCAGCCGCGGUAAGACGUAGGAGGCGAGCGUUAUCCGGAUUCACUGGGCGUAAAGCGCAUGUAGGCGGUCGUGCAAGUCCGUGGUGAAAGCCCCUGGCUCAACUGGGGGAGGUCCAUGGAGACUGUGCGACUGGAGAGCAGCAGAGGAGCGUGGAACUCCCGGUGUAGCGGUGGAAUGCGUAGAGAUCGGGAAGAACACCAGUGGCGAAGGCGGCGCUCUGGGCUGCACCUGACGCUGAGAUGCGAAAGUGUGGGGAGCAAAC